CUGAACACUGGUGAUGUCACUGGAUAUCUGGUGCAGCCGGGAGCGAGUCAUGUGUGUGGAUUGAGGAAUCCAGCCAUUAUCGGGUUAAAAUCAUCCCACUUCCUGGUUUAGAGUUUCUUGGCGCAUCAUGACCUGGUUAAACCGGUGUCUGGGAGACCAGUUCCAGUGUAAGGGACAAGUUCCUCUCUGCUUGUUGGUGGUUUCCUUCAGUGUGCAGUGGUGUCGUAUGAGUGCAGGUGUUUGCUGUGGAUAGAAGAUCAUUAGAGUAGGCUCCCCAGCCCUGGAGUCCAAGCGUUCUUGUGUGGUAUAUCAUGUAUGGUUAUGUCAUUUUAAUAGUUCUUAAUAAACUGUGUAUUAUGUCCUGACCCAGCUGUAGAC